AAAGGAAUUCAAGCAUUUGGCUUCGCAAACUUCGCCAAUUUCAUAUUAGAGGAAAAAAUCAAUAGUGUCUACAAUAAUAUUCGUAUGGAGUCCAUCCCUCGAGGAUGAUUCUGACAAACUUCGCCAAUUUCAUAUUAGAGGAAAAGAAUCAAUAGUGUCUACAAUAAUAUUCGUACGGAGUCCAUCCCUCGAGGAUGAUUCUGACGAACGGCGUAAUUUAAAACCAAACAAUAGCCCAUGUUUUGAAACAAAGGCAACAAACUUAAAUACGACUCAUUUUAAUAUAACCUUCUACAAAAAAAUUGGCCUCUUCUUGUAUCUGGAUAAUCUGGAACAAUCCGUGGUGUCCUACCGAGGACGAACUAAAGUUAAAAUCUCUACAGAUACCUUAAUAGGUAAUCAUGCUUAAUAUGCUGGAAAUACAUGACGCAAACCAUUAUAAAUGGGUUGCAGACGGUUCCGACAAAGCUAAUGGUGCUAAUGCACACAUUAAAAUCGUAAAAUAUAUUUUCUUUAAUGCUUAUAUUUUUCAGAGAAAUGUCUAAUAAACCUACUUAUUCCAAUAUUGGCCAGUAUUUAUAUUCCUAAAAUAUUUCCUAUUUUUGCUGACUUAUACCAUUAUGUGUCAGUAUUGAAGCUCCUAAAGAAUGAAAAAAAAACAAUUGAAAAUUAACAAGUAAAUCGCAAAAACAAUUCUCUUUUAUCAUCCUGCUUUUAAAUAUUCUUAAAUAAUUACGCAUAUUUUCCAAAUUCUCUUAUACUUUUAAAAUAGUUUGACGAGGAACCUACUGAUCCUGUGCACGCUGGCUGUAUGAGUCAGAAAAUCUCACAACGGACAGAAUAACGUUAAAACUGGGUCCCAGCUGACAGCCAGACGAAUAUCGGACCUGGCGAUCUCGGAGCUACACCCCAAAACUGAUAAUUAACGAUAAACCGAACCCGUGAAGAUGAAUGAGUGCGAGAAUAUCCUUGAAUCUGUCGAAACUCAGAGGAGCUGGGGGACCUCAUAUCGGUACUUCUCGGCGAAAAAUAACGGUAAAAAAUAUAUUCCCAUAAGCUCCCGUGAGGAUCCCCUACAUCACUAAUGAAUUUUAAAUCUUUUUUUUAUGCAGAGAGCAGGGGUGUGCACACGGAACAUUUUGGACUGUAAAGGUUGAAACUCUUGAACCGAAACUAAUGUACACGCUAUCUAAUAGAAUUUUAAAACUUUAAGAAUUUAAAUUGUGUACAGCAUCUUCUAAUCUAAAAUUUAAGUCUUCAGUUGUAAAAAAUCCAUGAAAUUAAGUAUUCGAAAUUCAAAGUCCUUACCUAAUAGUUUAACGCUUUAACUCAAGCCUGAAUUAGAACCCUACAUACAUAAUUAAUUAAAACCCUGAGAUUCUUGAAUUAUUUCUUCCCUCCCUCAUCAUAUUUCUCUCUUUACCUAGUUAAGCUGAAACCGGGAUGACAAAUGAGCGGUGAAUCUCAGAGACCUAACAGCCUCAUCACUGAGCACAUAAUAACGGUAAAAAAUAUAUUUCCAUAAGGCCCGUGAUGAGUGGCAGAUUUCUUUCAUUACUAAUGAGUUUUUAACCUUCUAUACACAGAGAGCACAAUGUGAACAUGGACCUUUAUGGAAUGUUAAGGUCGAAACCUAAUGUACACGGUAUUAGAUCACAUUUCUGAAUAAAAUUAUAAACCUUGAGCAUGUAAAAUCAGUUGUAUAAGUUUAAAAACUUUCUUGCCACCCCUUAACCUUUAAAUUAAUAUUUCGGACAUAAAACUAUGCAACUGCAAGCAAGAACUGAAGCCAAAACGAACUUUUUAAAAAAACGCAUUUUUAACAAAAUUUAAACGUUGAGAAUGGAAUCUAAGGUUUAAUAGUGUCUCUUCACCCGCUAACCUUUAAUUUAAUCUUUCGGACAUAAAACUUUGCUAUUUCAAGCAUUAUGAGGACUCCGGUUUAUAAUCUGAAGCCCUUCCCAAUCCUUGAAUCUUCUCUCACAAUAAACUAAUGCUCUUUUUUUUACUGAUUCAGUCUGUGGAAGCAGAAACGUCUCCUGAACCGUCAAACCUCAUCGCCUGGAAAUCACGUCUCAAGAAGAUGAGACUUAAUCCAUGCACGAUAUAACCGUGCAUCAUACCUGACUAUACUUUGAGUUUUAUUACAAAAAUGAAAGGGUUAAAUACGAAUCCCUUUCCAAUCUUCUAGUCAGUACCGUAGAACUAACAUUUUACAUGAGUCUAUUCCUUAAAUUUAAUGCGUCCUCGCUCCAAUUGAAAUUAAUGUUUCUAUAACGAGCUUUGGCCACGUAGGCCGUGUAGACUAUUAACUACAUAAAGGGAAAAACAUGCAGGAAGGAACCAUCAAUGUUCCUCGCCAGUAUGUAUCCAAAAUAUAUCGUUUUACAAAAUUACGCCUGCUAUUUAGCAUCAUGAUGAUGUAAUUCAACUAGUGUAAUACUGAUGACGAACCUUCAAUGUUCACCGUCAGUACAAUCGUAGUUUGCUGUCCAUAUUACUCUCUUUGACAUUAUACCAUUUUUACAUAAAAUCUGUUUAAUGCACUCUCAUCAAAUUUUUCUCUUUAAAUGCUCCAUUAUUAUGAAGAUGAAUUUUAAAAACAAAUCAAAGACUAAAAAAAAGCAAUUUAUUCUCUAUACUCCCCAAAUUGUUUGUCUUGCAGGACAGAUCCAAGUUUCCAAUUAAUUGAAAAAAUGAAAAUGUAUCCUUAUGAUUUAUCUAAUUUAAAAUUAUGUACACAUUAUUUUCGUAAUUCAAUUGUAUUUAAUAUAUGUUGAUAUCUUUGUACAACCAAUCUU